UCCAUGAAUGGACCUUAGGUUAAAUUUUAUUAUGUGAUUAAUUAAAUUUAAAUGUGAGAGACAUUAAAUUUAAUUAAUCAAUGUUAAGUUUGGUGAUUAAAACUUAAUAAGAGUGAAAAAAGGUGUCAAAAGCCAAUUUGGACUUUUCUUCUUAUGAAACCUUUAUUAACCUUUAUAAAAAAAAAUAAAAAAAAAAAUUUAAUGAUCACAUAUAUGGCAAAGAGUGGCCGGCCAUGUUCUAUUUUAGAGUGGUGUGAACCCAAUUUUAUAAAGUUUAACUCCCAUUUUAAUUAAGAAGUCAAGUGGGCAAGUGGGUAGAAAAGCACUCUCAAGUGUUUUGUGAUAUUUUGAAGAGUUGUGUGAGCCAUUCUAACCCCCAAAUCCGACCACUCUCCCUCCCUCAUUCACUCUCAUCUGAUUUUUGAGGACUCUCUCAAGUGUUCUCUCCAUUUUCAACCCCAAGAACACCAAAGAAACUUGGAAGCUAAGUCUUGGUCUAGGAAGGGUUUUCCCUAAGUUGGUUAGGGUUUUUGAAAGGUUUUGGAGGAGCCAAAGCUAAUAGGAAGGUCCAAACCUUAAGCAAGAACACCAAAGAGUAUUGGCUAAGCGUAACUGGACUGAACGUUGGAGGGUGAAAACUUGCUGAGCGCUAAGGACUCCAA